rnacentral:lncRNA from 1 species
GUCAGGAUCUCUCUAGUCCAAGAACUUGGAGCACUGUUGCCCUCACAGGGAGGACAGUGGGUGACACCCUCACAAACGAGAAAAGGGGCUCAGACUCUGGAACCUCCAAGUCCAAUUUCCAACAGUGUGGUUGGGCCGUGGCUCCUGGCACCCACUUGGAGAUGCCCACCAGAAGCCCCCUCCCUCCCUCCCUUACUGAGGGUCAGGCUAGCCGAGCCUUCCCCGCCCUGGAGACCUCCCAGCUGGGGCCUGAGGGUGUGAUCUUGGCAGAAGAGAAAAACCUCCUCUCCGGUGGUGGCUUCUGUUCAACCCACCCGUGAAGACCUCUGGGCACGUCCUCCUGCCAGGCCUCCUGAGGCUGGCCACUGCUCUCUUUUGCAGCCUCCAGGAUCUGAGGGAAACAGCUGGCUCCCCUCCUCACCACACCCCGGCGGCCAUUCUCUUGGACCCCUCCCAAGGGUACCACCUAGCCCUGGGGCCUUAUCUCUCAGGAUCUGUCCCUCAGGGACUAGUCAUCACCUCUGUCCACCUCCUUCCCUUCAGCCGCCUACCUGCCCACACAGUAACACCUGAAUAUCUUCUUUCAACCUGAUCCCAGGCACAAUAUCAUAAUACAAAUAACAAUGAUGGCAAUAAUAAUGGCAGCUGUCACUCAUUUGGCAUCAUUUAAAUAGAGGCACAGAGAGGUUAAGUUAUGCCCUUAAGAACAAACAGCCAUCUCAUUCAAUUAAGCUGGUGUCUGAAUUUAGGUUGGGCUUCUGUAAAUCAAACUUCUUUGGUGUCCAGAGAUUCAGCGCCCUCCCCUGCAGCCUCCUACAACGGUCCUAGUCCCAACCAUCAGUUCUAAUUUUUGACUUCUAAUCUAUCCUCCUCUCAGCUUCUAGUCACCACCUCCCACCAACAGCCAUCCAACUAGAUGCACUACUCUCCCUCGCCACUAGGUGUCCCCUUGGAGCCACUGAUGCCCCCAAGGGGAGCUGGCCCUGCCCCGCCCCCUGGGGCCAUCAGGGCCCCCCCACAGCACAGCACAGCAGUGCACACCCCACCCCACCCUACCCCCAGCCACACAGAGCUCCUUUGUGCAACCCUCGCCCACCCCCUUCCUCCCUGGAACAGGGCACCUGGCAAGCAGGUCUGCCCCAGAACCGCCCCCUGCCAGCCCCCUGCCCUGGGUGCCAGGUGUGUGGGCGCCACCGCCAGCUCUGGCUGGACCCGAGGGUCACCCUGCCGGCGGCCCUCCCUUCCUCCCUCCGAGGUCACCCAGGGACUAAGCUUCCCGCCCUGCUCCGCCCCCCUCCCCUCCUGCCCUUGGCCCUUCCAGACUCCCGUCCUUGUCUUUCCUUCUGUCUCCCGGAGGACUCCCCUCCUCCAGCCCCACUAGGCCUUCCCUGCAGCCUCUCACCCCCGCCCACCUCCUUCCCCAGAGAGCUCCUUGUUCCACGCCCCCCCGCUCCCCGCCCAGGUCUGAAGAACUCCUCCUCCUGGAAAGUUGCUGCUGGAAAGGAAGUGACUUCAGCAAUUUGGCCACAAGGCUGGGCACUGCUGAGCCCAGCUCAGCUCAAGGCUUGCCCAACCCACCUCCAAAGCACAAAUGGAGCCACAUGUGCACAUCACUCCCACUGUGCACCCAGAACCCUGAGCACACACUUAGCCAGUGUACACACAGAUCCCCGUGUGCAUACACCGUACCAUCGCAGUGUAUUCAGAUCUUGUCUAUACACACAUCUCUCCAGUGUACACUAGCACCCUUGCACACAUGACAUCCAGUGUGGCACACACAGUAUCCCCACACCUGCCCAGUACACACCCAGAAUCCUGCAUAUUCAUACUUCCGGGUACCACAUACACAGCCCUUGAACGCUCCCCAGCCCAGUCCACUUACACAACUCUUGUAUAUUACCCCAUGUGCACGGAAGGACAGAGCCUUCCACACACACCUGCUUGCACACAAGCUUGAGUGCCCUGUACAUUUACAUUCGGAUACACACAGCCUCGCAUCCUCCCACAGCUGUACCUCCCCACCCUUACAAUCCCAGGAGACUCCACCCCCAGACCUCAGGCCCCAGGAAUGCUCCUUUGGAAGUAGGGUGGGGUCCCCAGGCAGGCUCAGCUCUAGGGAGCUUCCUGGAGCCGCAGGCUUCAUGUGUCAGUUCAGGGAGUUGCCUCUGCAGGGCAGGGCAGCUUCACCUGGCUCUGCAGCUCCUGAGCCUGGGUGGGCUAACCUGGGCCAGGAGUAGGGAGGUGGGUCCUGCCACUGCCCCCGCCCCCUCCCUGUCCUGCAAGGGCACCUUAGCAUACCUGGGCUACCCAGGCCCUCCCAGCACC